UUGACGUUAGCGACAGAAGAAGCACCGGCUAACUCCGUGCCAGCAGCCGCGGUAAUACGGAGGGUGCGAGCGUUAAUCGGAAUUACUGGGCGUAAAGCGCAUGCAGGUGGUUUGUUAAGUCAGAUGUGAAAGCCCGGGGCUCAACCUCGGAAUAGCAUUUGAAACUGGCAGACUAGAGUACUGUAGAGGGGGGUAGAAUUUCAGGUGUAGCGGUGAAAUGCGUAGAGAUCUGAAGGAAUACCGGUGGCGAAGGCGGCCCCCUGGACAGAUACUGACACUCAGAUGCGAAAGCGUGGGGAGCAAACAGGAUUAGAUACCCUGGUAGUCCACGCCGUAAACGAUGUCUACUUGGAGGUUGUGGCCUUGAGCCGUGGCUUUCGGAGCUAACGCGUUAAGUAGACCGCCUGGGGAGUACGGUCGCAAGAUUAAAACUCAAAUGAAUUGACGGGGGCCCGCACAAGCGGUGGAGCAUGUGGUUUAAUUCGAUGCAACGCGAAGAACCUUACCUACUCUUGACAUCCAGAGAACUUUCCAGAGAUGGAUUGGUGCCUUCGGGAACUCUGAGACAGGUGCUGCAUGGCUGUCGUCAGCUCGUGUUGUGAAAUGUUGGGUUAAGUCCCGCAACGAGCGCAACCCUUAUCCUUGUUUGCCAGCGAGUAAUGUCGGGAACUCCAGGGAGACUGCCGGUGAUAAACCGGAGGAAGGUGGGGACGACGUCAAGUCAUCAUGGCCCUUACGAGUAGGGCUACACACGUGCUACAAUGGCGCAUACAGAGGGCAGCAAGCUAGCGAUAGUGAGCGAAUCCCAAAAAGUGCGUCGUAGUCCGGAUUGGAGUCUGCAACUCGACUCCAUGAAGUCGGAAUCGCUAGUAAUCGUGGAUCAGAAUGCCACGGUGAAUACGUUCCCGGGCCUUGUACACACCGCCCGUCACACCAUGGGAGUGGGCUGCAAAAGAAGUAGGUAGUUUAACCUUCGGGAGGA
rnacentral:rRNA from 1 species